rnacentral:rRNA from 1 species
AUUGAACGCUGGCGGCAGGCUUAACACAUGCAAGUCGAGCGGAGAUGAGGUGCUUGCACCUUAUCUUAGCGGCGGACGGGUGAGUAAUGCUUAGGAAUCUGCCUAUUAGUGGGGGACAACAUUCCGAAAGGAAUGCUAAUACCGCAUACGUUCUACGGGAGAAAGCAGGGGAUCUUCGGACCUUGCGCUAAUAGAUGAGCCUAAGUCGGAUUAGCUAGUUGGUGGGGUAAAGGCCUACCAUGGCGACGAUCUGUAGCGGGUCUGAGAGGAGGAGCGGCCACACUGGGAAUGAGAAACGGCCCAGACUCCUACGGAAGGCAGCAGUGGGGAAUAUUGGACAAUGGGGGGAAACCUGAUCCAGACAUGCCGCGUGUGUGAAGAAGGCCUUAUGGUUGUAAAGCACUUUAAGCUAGGAGGAGGCUACUGAGACUAAUACUCUUGGAUAGUGGACGUUACUCGCAGAAUAAGCACCGGCUAACUCUGUGCCAGCAGCCGCCGUAAAAC